CGUGGUAACUGGUUACCAUAAAGUUGAUCACCCUGACAGAAUUGACCGUCAAAAGGCUAAGCAUGCUCUCAAGAUCUGGAGUAUCAUAUUCGCUCAUGGCAAUAUAGAAUUCAAGAUUGUUGGUUUCAGUGAUAGAAAAUGCAACGAACAGACACUAAAAUUCGAAGUUGAAUGAAUUGGAACCAAUGGAUGAAUUAAAGGAAGAGGUAGCAGUAUGCAUGCUGCACUUGAAAGUCAUACUUCACCUCCACCCAUGCUGUCGUGCUAUGGCGGUGAGUCAACCAUGACGCAACCGUGGCAGCGGUGGCCUUCUUCUACACCUCCGUGUUUUAGGGGUUCUAGAGGAAGGAACAUCUUCAGCGGUUGUUAGAGCAGCAGGUCACCUUUUCCAGGCGCAAGUAGAACUCGUGACAUGUGUUAUGCAGGCUGGUAAAAGGUCUUUUCUCUUACUAUAACUAUCGAUUGU